CCACAGAAAAAAUCAGAGCAUUGAGCAAUGGAAUUCCCAAAUCAAAGAAACCAUCAUCACCGUCAUCAUGAUCAGAGGGACGAGGAAGCAAGAGAGAAUUACCCACCACCGGGAACUAGGCUGUCUCCUUUUGAUCAACCUCCACCUCCUCCAAGACCUUCCUACUAUGGAGAGGAUCAACAUCCACCACCACCACCACCACCUUCCUACUACAGAGAAGAUCAACCACCACCGGAUUCAUACUACGAAGCAGAUAGACCACCACCGACCCGUGUGAGCCAUGUGUCCCACUCUUCCCAUGGUUUUGCACCUCCAAGUCCACCCUCCCAACCCGAAGGCUUUCUCCACCACCCACCACCAGUGCAGAAUUACAACUACCCAUCGUCACAAGCUACUCCAAGUCCACCGCCUGUUACCGUG
rnacentral:lncRNA from 1 species